ACCACCUUAACUCAGAUGGAUAGAGUACUCGACCGAUAAUCGAGUUGUCAUUGGUUCAAGUCCAAUAGGUGGUACCA
rnacentral:tRNA from 6 species